rnacentral:snoRNA from 1 species
GGAGUUAGCGAUGAUUAUAUAAAAAUUCUUUACUUUGAUUUGCUUAAUUUGAAUCUGAUAAACUUUUUAUUACAACCAUAGAAUCUGAGCUCU